GCUUUUGGUUUGCAACAGACAACCUUGAGAUAGCCUGAGGAAUCAAUGUCCAUUAUUUCCUCCACCUGAAAGGAAGUUCUGGGUGCUGGAUACAGAAUAAAUGCACUGAAUACAUCAGCAGAAGAAGGAAGGAAGAAGACACCUGAAGAGAUAAUGCAAAAUUUGUUCUAUUAGGUCCAGCCUCAAGAUCAAUCUGCUAACAAGAAAAAUGAACAAAUAGAUAUUUAGUGAAUGAGUACUGUGGUCUUCUUUCAUUGUGUCUGGGAUCUUUCUCAAAUAAGAGAAAGGCUCAGCUAGGAACCUUUGCUGCUGGAAGUUCUUAUUGUUUAUCAGCAGGAAUGCAUCUCACAAAAGAUAAAGGCAGGAAGCAAGAAGGAACUCAGAGCAAGAGAAGUAUUCUUACUGGAAAGCAAAGGUAUUAGGAAAUAAAUGCUAACUGGCCAUCCA
rnacentral:lncRNA from 12 species